UAGGGAAUCUUCGGCAAUGGACGAAAGUCUGACCGAGCAACGCCGCGUGAGUGAAGAAGGUUUUCGGAUCGUAAAACUCUGUUGUUAGAGAAGAACAAGGACGUUAGUAACUGAACGUCCCCUGACGGUAUCUAACCAGAAAGCCACGGCUAACUACGUUCCAGCAGCCGCGGUAAUACGUAGGUGGCAAGCGUUGUCCGGAUUUAUUGGGCGUAAAGCGAGCGCAGGCGGUUUCUUAAGUCUGAUGUGAAAGCCCCCGGCUCAACCGGGGAGGGUCAUUGGAAACUGGGAGACUUGAGUGCAGAAGAGGAGAGUGGAAUUCCAUGUGUAGCGGUGAAAUGCGUAGAUAUAUGGAGGAAAACCAGUGGCGAAGGCGGCUCUCUGGUCUGUAACUGACGCUGAGGCUCGAAAGCGUGGGGAGCAAACAGG
rnacentral:rRNA from 1 species